AAUGAGUAGGUAAAGAAAAAGAGAGAAAUAGAAGGGAAGAAAAUGAGAACAUGAAAAGUGUACAAGAUCCUAGGAGUAGAAGUCUUGUAGCUAUCAUAGGUAUUAUAAAAGUUGGGUCUGCAUCAUGCAAAGGAGAGGGAGAAAAAAAAAGUGAUAGACUUUUUUGUCAUAGUAACACACUCUUAACUCUGUUUCUACUACAAAAUUAACAGAAUGAACUUAAUUAAUACAAAUUAUACCAGAUAUGAAUGAAAUUGAAACUUUUUUUAAGAGGAACUACCAAGUUGAUACAUUAUAGUAAAAUUAUGGUCAAAGUAAGCAAUUAAACCUAAAUUUAAAUUUAGAAUUAUCAUAAUAAUUAUUGAGAGUGACAUUGUAUUGGGAAAAGAAGAAUUAGGAAGUUAUUAUGUUAUCU
rnacentral:lncRNA from 1 species